UACGGGGGGGGCAAGCGUUGUUCGGAAUUACUGGGCGUAAAGGGCUCGUAGGCGGCCAACUAAGUCAGACGUGAAAUCCCUCGGCUUAACCGGGGAACUGCAUCUGAUACUGGAUGGCUUGAGUUCGGGAGAGGGAUGCGGAAUUCCAGGUGUAGCGGUGAAAUGCGUAGAUAUCUGGAGGAACACCGGUGGCGAAGGCGGCAUCCUGGACCGGCAUUGACGCUGAGGCGCGAAAGCCAGGGGAGCAAACAGG
rnacentral:rRNA from 1 species